AUUGAACGCUGGCGGCAGGCCUAACACAUGCAAGUCGAGCGAGCGGCGGACGGGUGAGUAAUGUAUGGGGAACUGCCCGAUAGAGGGGGAUAACUACUGGAAACGGUGGCUAAUACCGCAUACUAUCGGAUGAGCCAAUAUGGGAUUAGCUAGUAGGUGGGGUAAAGGCUCACCUAGGUGACGAUCCCUAGCUGGUCUGAGAGGAUGAUCAGCCACACUGGGACCGCGACACGGCCCAGACUCCCACGGGAGGCAGCAGUUGGGAAUAUUGCGCAAUGGGCGCAAGCCUGAUGCAGCCAUGCCGCGUGGAUGAAGAAGGCCUUAGGGUUGUAAAGUACUUUCAGCGGGGAAGCGUUACCCGCAGAAGAAGCACCGGCUAACUCCGUGCCAGCAGCCGCGGUAAUAC
rnacentral:rRNA from 1 species